AGAGUUUGAUCCUGGCUCAGGAUGAACGCUAGCGGCAGGCUUAACACAUGCAAGUCGAGGGGUAUAGUUCUUCGGAAUUAGAGACCGGCGCACGGGUGCGUAACGCGUAUGCAAUCUACCUUUCACAGAGGGAUAGCCCAGAGAAAUUUGGAUUAAUACCUCAUAGUAUAUAGACCUGGCAUCAGGAUUAUAUUAAAGUCACAACGGUGAAAGAUGAGCAUGCGUCCCAUUAGCUAGAUGGUAAGGUAACGGCUUACCAUGGCAACGAUGGGUAGGGGUCCUGAGAGGGAGAUCCCCCACACUGGUACUGAGACACGGACCAGACUCCUACGGGAGGCAGCAGUGAGGAAUAUUGGACAAUGGGCGCAAGCCUGAUCCAGCCAUGCCGCGUGCAGGAUGACGGUCCUAUGGAUUGUAAACUGCUUUUGCACAGGAAGAAACCACUCUACGUGUAGAGUCU
rnacentral:rRNA from 1 species